GACCCGAGCGAAGCGAGAGAACGUUGCGUCAGCAACGGCCCGCAGGGCGAGUCAUCCUCUAUCACCGGCAG
rnacentral:sRNA from 1 species